CGAUAUCGGAUUAGCUAGUUGGUGGGGUAAUGGCCUACCAAGGCCGCGAUCCGUAGCUGGUUUGAGAGGACGACCAGCCACACUGGGACUGAGACACGGCCCAGACUCCUACGGGAGGCAGCAGUGGGGAAUUUUGGACAAUGGGGGGAACCCUGAUCCAGCCAUCCCGCGUGUGCGAUGAAGGCCUUCGGGUUGUAAAGCACUUUUGUCAGGGAAGAAAAGACUAUCGAUAAUACCGAUGGUCGAUGACGGUACCUGAAGAAUAAGCACCGGCUAACUACGUGCCAGCAGCCGCGGUAAUACGUAGGGGGCAAGCGUUAAUCGGAAUUACUGGGCGUAAAGCGUGCGCAGGCGGUUCGGAAAGAAGGAUGUGAAAUCCCAGGGCUCAGCCUUGGAACUGCAUUCUUAACUACCGGACUAGAGUAUGUCAGAGGGGGGUAGAAUUCCGCGUGUAGCAGUGAAAUGCGUAGAUAUGCGGAGGAAUACCGAUGGCGAAAGCAGCCCCCUGGGAUAAUACUGACGCUCAUGCACGAAAGCGUGGGUAGCAAACAGGAUUAGAUACCCUGGUAGUCCACGCCCUAAACGAUGUCAACUAUCUGUUGGGCCCUUCGGGGCUUAGUAGCGUACCUAACGCGUGAAGUUGACCGCCUGGGGAGUACGGUCGCAAGAUUAAAACCCAAAGGAUUUGACGGGGACCCGCACAAGCGGUGGAUGAUGUGAGAUUAAUUCCGAUGCACCGCGAAAAAACCUUAACUACCCUUUGACGUGUCUGGAAUCCUUUAGAGAUAGAGGAGUGCUCGCAGGAA
rnacentral:rRNA from 1 species